AGAAAUUGGCUGAUGUGAAGCAAGGGAUGUCUCAUGCUUAUUAGAAUUAUCUGGAAAGUCUCGCGCUUAUUUGCAAUAAUCUAUAGUGUGUCUAUUGUUUAAUAUGAUAUCUCUUUAUUUUGCUAAACCAGCUGUAUCUAAUUUUCCCUCAUGGGAGUGGAAUUAACAUUUUAUUCAAAGAGUAUUCAUUUAUGAGUCACUGUUUUCCGCCGCAAUGUUGUUAACUUCCGCAAUACCGCUUUCGGUGUCAAUGCGGUAAUUCUCUUCCCGGAAAUGGUUUUCAAACUGAAUGUGGUUUGGUUUUUGAUACUGAGGGAACAUUUUACCGGCAAGAGAAUGCUACUGGAAGAUUCAACCACCAAUACUCAACGUAUCAACUAUCUAUAAAACAUCUUAAAUUUGUCUUUAUUUUUUUCGAUGUGGUUUCUUAAAUUUGUUUUUGUUUCAUCUUGAUGUAACCACACCUGGUGUGAACAUACUUGCUGCCUAUUCACUAUUUGCAAGUGCAUCCAACUUACUAACAGACAAUCGCCAAGGAGUUCCAUUCAAUGUAUUGCAAGGAACCUCUGUGUCUUGCCCCCAUGUGGCUGGAAUUGCAGGACUAAUCAAAACUCUCCAUUCGAAUUGGAUGACUGCAACUAUUAAAUCAGCUAUCAUGACCACAGGUACACUCACAUUACAAUUCCUUGAUUUUUACUAAGCACAAGAUUUCUAACUUCAUUAUUUAUAUAUCCUACCAGCAACCGCACAAGAUAACACCAACAAGCCAAUUCAGGAUGCGCUUGACAAAAAACUGGGAACUCCAUGGCACACAGCAUGAAAAGGGCGCACUCGAAUGAUUACGUUAAUAAGAAAAAUGACCCGCUGUGAGCUGAAUGGGAGAUAAUAGAAGCUUCAGAGAAGUUAGCAGAGUGUCAAGAAACCUUUGCAAUAUUGUUCGUCUGUUUUAUUCCCUUACUUUGUAUGUUACUCUAUUGUAGUGUUCAUAAAAAAAAAAUAGAUCAUGUUGGGGUUUAUGUUGAUGUUGAUGCACACCUUUGAUUAAAGCCAUGUUGAUGCAUUUUGAGUAAACCAUUGGGAACUUCGAAGCUACUGAUGUUGCCAAUGCAGUUCUGGAUGGAAGAGACUGUGUGAUGCUUAAUGGUGAGACAGCUGCUGGAGCUUAUCCAGAACAAGUGAAUGUCUCGGGUUUAAACCCGUGAUCCUACCCCUGACAAUAACUGAACUGACUUAACAUGAAGAUUAUUGUUGAUGAAUGACAUUGGAUAUUUGAAUUUUACAGUGUAGUGACUAAAUUAUGCAGGUUGACCGAUGAUUCCCAAGUUGUGGUUAUAAGCUUUGGUAUGAGAUUUGACAUACUUAAGUUUGGAGACAUUUAUCUUUCAGUAUAUAGAAUGUUUAUCAUAUUGGCACCUUGAUGGAACUUAUUAGAUCUAUUGCACUUUCAUUUGCUAAUGAUGGGAAACGUGUAAAGGUGUUUUCCCGACUCGUUUUGCUCUAACAUAGAAUAUUUUGUAUGUAUAGAAAUAGAAGGAGCUUCUAUUUGUAAAUGUCAACAUAGUUCUCUC